UGUGUCAGCCGCCGCGGUAAUACCGGCGGCCCAAGUGGUGGCCGCUAUUAUUGGGCCUAAAGCGUCCGUAGCCGGGCCCGUAAGUCCCUGGCGAAAUCCCACGGCUCAACCGUGGGGCUUGCUGGGGAUACUGCGGGCCUUGGGACCGGGAGAGGCCGGGGGUACCCCUGGGGUAGGGGUGAAAUCCUAUAAUCCCAGGGGGACCGCCAGUGGCGAAGGCGCCCGGCUGGAACGGGUCCGACGGUGAGGGACGAAGGCCAGGGGAGCGAACCGGAUUAGAUACCCGGGUAGUCCUGGCUGUAAAGGAUGCGGGCUAGGUGUCGGGCGAGCUUCGAGCUCGCCCGGUGCCGGAGGGAAGCCGUUAAGCCCGCCGCCUGGGAGUACGCACGAAAGAGC
rnacentral:rRNA from 1 species